rnacentral:rRNA from 1 species
CCUACGGGAGGCAGCAGUAGGGAAUAUUGCACAAUGGGCGAAACCCUGAUGCAGCAACGCCGCGUGAGCGAUGAAGGUUUUCGGAUCGUAAAGCCCUGUUCUCAGAGAAGAUAAUGACGGUACUUGACGAAUAAGCACCGGCUAACUACGUGCCAGCAGCCGCGGUAAUACGGAGGGUGCUAGCGUUAUUCGGAAUUACUGGGCGUAAAGGGUGCGUAGGUGGGCUUUUAAGUCAGAUGUGAAAUGCUCAGGGUUAACUAUAGUAAAGCAUUUGAAACUGUGAACCUUGAGUGUGGGAGAGGAGAGUGGAAUUCUUAGUGUAGGGGUGAAAUGCGUAGAUAUUAAGAGGAACACUCGUUGCGAAGGCGGCUUUCUGGAACGUAACUGACACUGAGGCACGAAAGCGUGGGGAGCAAACAGGAUUAGAUACCCUUGUAGUC